ACAAAAACAUGGCCUUUUGAGUGGAAUUUGAGGUCGGGCCUGCCCACUGACGUAGUUGAAGGGCCGCGGUAUUUUGACCGUGCAAAGGUAGCAUAAUCAUUAGUCUUUUAAUUGAAGGCUGGAAUGAAUGGUUUGACGAAAUAUUAACUGUCUCUUUAUAAUAAAUGGAAUUUAACUUUUGAGUCAAAAGGCUUAAAUGAAUAUAAAAGACGAGAAGACCCUAUAGAUCUUUAUAUAGUUAUAUAAUUGUUUUAUUUGGUUGUUUUAUUUGCAAUUAUUUUGUUAUAUUUUGUUGGGGUGACAUGAAGAUAAAAAUAACUCUUUAUAAUGGGAACAUUGAUUUAUGAGUGAUUGAUCCGUUAUUAACGAUUAUAAGAUAAAGUUACCUUAGGGAUAACAGCGUAAUUUUUUUUGAGAGUUCUUAUCGACAAAAAAGAUUGCGACCUCGAUGUUGGAUUAAGGAAUAUGGUUAGGUGUAGCAGUUUAAUUAAUAAGUCUGUUCGACUUUUAAAUCCUUACGUCAUCUGA
rnacentral:rRNA from 1 species